UCCAAUAGAUUUCAUAUGGCUCAGGAUGGACACCUAAGGGAGAAAACAUCUGUGGGUUUCCAAUCCCCAAGGGUGGGCUUCAGCCCUCACAGGGUGUAGUACAGUUACACCCCAGUAGACAGUGGACAGGUGUAUGUGUGACCAAAAACAGGUUUGGUUCACACUCGCUGGGCUGAAGGCAGCCACCUUCCUGGGUAAAAGUGAGGUCUCUCGCAACUCUGUCUCCCUGCACAUGCCUCAUGUGUGUUUUCUGUUGGGCUUUGACUCAAUACUGUAUCAUGAGAAGUAUUUUUUUGUCACAACCACCACAAAUGGAGUUAAGUAUUGUAGAAUCUCUCUGAGGUUGAUAUUAUUAUUAUGACCAUGUCACAAGUGAGGAAGAUAAAUCAGGUGGCAAAGAGAGACCUCUAGUGAUCUGAUCUUCAGGCUUGACCAAGGGGCUUUGGACAAGGAUGGAAGGGCCCUGUGCUUUGUAUUUCCUCACUUGUGCAGAAUGGUGCACAAAAGAGACUUUGUCUAGUAGUCGUGGGAGGGUGUGAAGGGGUCAAGGACAGAAUUUGGGGAGUCAAAAAUACAGGGUUGAACCGUUUGGGAAUUAGAGUGUUUAUAUGGGCAGUAGGUCUUACGCUUCCACAGACUUGGGAAGUAAUGCUUACAUCAGUGGUGCUUAGGACAUACCAGCUGUUUUCUUCAGGAUUUGGAUUUACUUAGUUUUAACCUCACAGUCAUCCUAUCACAGGUUCCAUUAACAUUUCCACACCACAGGCAGGGAACUGAGCAACAGAGCGGCUGAGGAACAUCCUCAGGUACACGCAACAUUGUCAUCAGGCAUCAGGCAGCUGUCCCCAUACUCUGGUUCAGUGCAUGAUGCUGACUUUCUCCAUCAUCUCGUGGAAAUACAGCAGCUGUUCUCAUAUAUCAUGGCACACCCAACUGCGAGAACUUACUCAUUCCUACUCUGACCCAGGUGGCUCCUCCAGGCAGCCCACACUAAAGAGAUCCAUGAUUGGGCCUGGGAAGAAAUCAUUUCUUAUUUUGCCAAGAAGAUGGCAACACCAUUCUUGAGUGAAUGCAUUUCCUUUCAUCUUCCUACAGGAAUAGGAAGAACAGCAACAAAAAGACAACUCAUUUGUCCCUCAACAGCCUUUUGUUCAUUUGUUCCAGGACCACACCCAUAGCACCAGCAGUAACCAAAACACACAGGCAAAUGUGGAUGUGGAAGGAAGAAGACUCUGAUGGCACAGGCAGAGGCUGGGAAGUUGCAGCUGCAAAGCAACAACCCAAGAUGCAGCAAGUGCCAGAAACUAGGAAGAGCCCAUGGAGGACCCUACGCUGGAGCCUUCAGAUAGAGCAGGGAGCAGCAGGCCUCUGACAUCAGGCCCUGCCCUCCAGAACUUGCCUUCCACGACCAGUGAAGAUGCCUUUGAUCUCUGUCUUCAUUGCUCUCUUCAGAGGUUCCAUCAGCUUUGGACAGCUCUAUAGGCUAGAUGAGUUGGUGAGUGUUCUGCUCUCUUUGGCAGCUCCUUUGUUUUCAGAAACACACAGGUGAUUCUGUAGAAAUAGACCCUAAAAAUCCUUCAGCCCCAUCAGGAUUUCACCAGCUUUACACGCACGUGUGUGUGUGUGUGUGUGUGUGUGUGUUGCUGUAUGAAAUACAUCAGCUCAGUAAUACGGUGCUAGAAAAAGAAGAUCCAUGUAGGAAAUGGCAUACUAAGAAGGUAGCUGGAGGAAGGAGAGACAUUUGUAUUGACAACCAUGCACACAGCAAGAAUAGUUCUAAGUAGCACAAAGACAGGUGGAUAAAUGUGUGUAGUAUCGUCCCCUGAAUAAUAGAGUAGUUAUGUCCCCUAGCAAUUCCACUGCUGGUGAUAUGAGGAAAUUUAGAAUUCAAGGACAGUGGGAUUUAAAGAUACACCUAAAAUAUAUACUUUGUCAAUAGAAGGUAGUUUAAGUUCCAGACAUUUUUGUAAUAAAACAAACACUUAGUACUUUCCUCAAUAACUAAGGAUCUUGGCAAUUUGGCCAUGUCAAUGGAGUCUUCCAGUUUGUAUUUUUUAAAAGAUAGAUAGGUAGAUAAAUAUAUUUAUUUCUUUAUUUAAAAGGCAGAGUUAGAGAAUGAGAGAGAGAAUCCAGUCUCCCAUCCACUGGUUCACUCCUGAAAUGGCCACAAUGGCUGGAAUUGUGCCUUUCUGAAGCCAGGAGCUUCUUCCAUGUCUCCCAUGUGGGUGCAGGGGCCCGAGUACCAGAACUGUCAUCUGCUGCCUUCCCAGGUGCAAAAGCAGGGAGCUGCAUUGGAAAUAGAACAGCCAGAUGUUGAACCAGUGCCCGUAGGGGAUGCCAGCACCACAUGUGGCAGCUUUCCUCACUAUGCCACAGUGCCAGCUCAGUUCUUCCACUUCUUUACUGAAGAAAAAUGGGUCACCUUCACAGAUAUUGGAAGAGGCAGGUUUUCAGCACAGCACCCGAUGCUGCUUGGGACAUGCACAUCCCUUGUCAGAGUGCCUGGGGUUGAGUUCCUGUCCCACUUCUGAUUAAUUUUCUUCUGAUGUGUACCCUGGGAGGCAGCAGGUGGUACUGGGUGCUGUUGGUUGACUGUGAUUCAGGUAAGAGACCCAGAGUGCCUUCAUGUCUGCUGACUGUGGCUUGGCUACAACUGGGCUGCUGUGGAUAUUUGCAGGGUGAACCUGCAAAAGAGAUGCAUCUUGAUCUCUGUCUAAAGAUUUUAUUUAUUUGUCUGAGAGGCACAGUAAUAUUAAGGGGUGGGGGGUGAUCCUGAGAUACUCCAUCCACUGGAGAUGCUCCAUCUAUUGGUUCCCUUCCCAAAUGGUCACACUGGUGAGAGCUGGGCUGAUCUGAAGCCAUGAGCCAGGAUCUUAGGACCUCUCCUUCCUUCCUCUUUCAAAUAGGAAUGGGAUGGGAAUAGCAAUGGGAGCAGCAGAGCUCAGGCAGCAGCUGUUUGUACUGCAGAGACUGUUAGUAGCCCCAGUUGACGUGUGGGACACUGAGGCCCAGAGCCACCAAGUACCUAUCUCAUGGUGGGGGUCUGGAAUCCAAACUCUUAUCUGUCAGCUGAACUUGUAACUGCACCCUCCUGUCAGUGAGGUGGGAGGGAGGAGGAACUGAUGGCAGUGUUGCUGGCAAAGCCUCGACACAAAGGAGCUGCUCAGGGAUGACAGCUUCCUUGUGGUGUGGCCCUUGUUGUCUGCUGUCAGGUUGUUUCCUGUGUGUCUGGGGAGCAGUGUUUGUCCCCUGGUAGAGAUGAGUUUGGACAAAUGUGCAGAGGUGUGAAACUGUUCAGGACGAUGGACAGAAUCGAGUGCUAAGGGCUGAGCUAAGACCUCCUUGUGUCUUGCUGGUGAAGCCAGGCCCUUGCUUUUCUGGGUGGUGCUUUGUUUUUGACAUGUCCCCAUGUCUGUACCCAGGAUCAUUCAGUGCGGUUGUCUAAGGCUUAAAGCAUUCAGUCCUUAGGUCUUUAUUCCAGGCACUGGAAAAUAGGGAGUAUGAGAGAGAAGGUUGAAUCCUCUGAGCACAGUAGUAAUUCCUGUGAGUGGGAUGCAUGUGCAGUGAUAAGGAAUUCAGGGAGUGGCUCCUGAGAGGUCCAGCCUUGGUCUUGAUAGAUAUUUGCCCUGAAGGUGGUUUGGUGAAUGGGCAUCCCAAUGGCAAGGAAAAGAUCACAAUGUGAAACCAGGUGAGAAAACUUCAGACUCCUUGGGGAGGAAAUGAGAGAAAAGCUGAAUUUACCUUGUUGCAGAAAGAAUUGAAGUCCAUGUGUCAGUUUACUCAUAAUAUGCAUUUUCCAUGACCUUUUGAAGUCCCUUCAUAAAGGAACUGCCGGAAGUAGCUCGUAUGGACAUCUUUCCUUAGUGUGGUGUGUUUAUUGCCAUCAGUGAACCUGUACUGAUACUUUAUUAUUCACUAAAGGCCACAGUUUAUUCAAAUUCCUUAGCUGUACCCACAUGUCUGUUUUCUGUACCAACACUACAUCCAGAAUUUAGUCUCAGACUCUUCAUGUUUUUCUUAAAGAAUCCAUUUACUACUUUGAAAGGUACACGCACCCACUCACAUGCACACACUCACACACACACACACACAGACACACACACACACAGAGAGAGAGAGAGAGAGAGAGAGAGAGAGAGAGAGAAUGAGAUCUCAAGACCUUCUAUUUGCUAAUUCACUUCCCAAAUACAAAGGAGGGGCUGGGCCUGACUGAAGCCAGAAUCUCCAUCCUGUGCUCCCACAUGAAUGACAGGAACCCAAGCACUGAGGUCAUCACCUGGGCCUCCCAGGGUGCACAUGUGCAGGAAGCUGGAUCAGAAGCAAUGGUGGGACUCUAUCUCAGGAAAUCCAAUAUAGAAUGGGGGCGUCCCAUGCAGAUGGCAAAUCUAUUGUACUGCAAUGCCUAUCUCCUUAGACCUGACUUGAUUAUGAUGAGAUUGAUGUCUUGAAAAUUCCAGGCCACAGAUUGAUGGGAUGCACCUGCACUGGCAUGUAUGAGGGACUAGGUAUUUCCUAGAUAUUUCCAGGUAAUGAGCACAGUUUGGGGUUUGAUUUGUGUGAGAGAGAGAGCAAGAAGGAAGACAACAGCAUUCCAGGCAUGUGGGAAGUGGGCCAUAGGAAAGAAGAUCUGAGUAUGGCUGUUUCCAUCUCUUUCUGCAGCUCUCCUAACAAAUAAAAUGAAAAUACAUUUUUAAAAACUUUGUUAGCUCUUCUUUUAGAAAAGAUUGCCCCCUCCCUGGAGUUUUAUCCUCUCUAGCAUGUGCACAUUGUGCCCCCAGCAGUUGACCUAUUACAGUCUGUGUUCCCUACCUUCAUUUGAGCCCCAGCAGAGGCCUGUGCUCAGUUAAGCUGGGAUUCUCUGUAUCUGACAGUCAAGGCAAUUUCUGAAGGUGUGUUUUGCAAGUGACCUCACUUUUCUGUAGGAUACAAGAUGAGUUGGUGAAUUCAGGUGUUCAGCUUUUGUCUUGUGGCAUGGCUGGGAGUGACUGUUGAUAUGCUUUGUACUUGUGGGUUAAAAGACAUAAAUCAAUUAAUCCUUUUUUUGGAAAAAGGGACUCUAACUUAACUUGUUUUCCCUGAAAAUUGUCUCUUUGCUUCCCCUUUCCAGAUCUGAAUGGAAGAGCAACAAGGAGGACAUCUCCACAUGUUGACAAUCAGAUCACCCGGGAAUCAGUG